rnacentral:rRNA from 1 species
GAUGAACGCUGGCGGCGUGCCUAAUACAUGCAAGUCGAACGCGCAGCGAAAGGUGCUUGCACCUUUCAAGCGAGUGGCGAACGGGUGAGUAACACGUGGAUAACCUGCCUCAAGGCUGGGGAUAACAUUUGGAAACAGAUGCUAAUACCGAAUAAAACUUAGUAUCGCAUGAUACAAAGUUAAAAGGCGCUACGGCGUCACCUAGAGAUGGAUCCGCGGUGCAUUAGUUAGUUGGUGGGGUAAAGGCUUACCAAAACGAUGAUGCAUAGCCGAGUUGGGAAACUGCUCGGCCAAAUUGGGACUGAGACACGGCCCAAACUCCUGCGGGAGGCUGCAGUAGGGAAUCUUCCACAAUGGGCGCAAGCCUGAUGGAGCAACGCCGCGUGUGUGAUGAAGGCUUUCGGGUCGUAAAGCACUGUUGUAUGGGAAGAAAUGCUAAAAUAGGGAAUGAUUUUAGUUUGACGGUACCAUACCAGAAAGGGACGGCUAAAUACGUGCCAGCAGCCGCGGUAA